GAUGAAGAACGCAGCGAAAUGCGAUAAGUAAUGUGAAUUGCAGAAUUCAGUGAAUCAUCGAAUCUUUGAACGCACAUUGCGCCCGCCAGCAUUCUGGCGGGCAUGCCUGUUCGAGCGUCAUUUCAACCCUCAAGCUCUGCUUGGUGUUGGGGCCCUACGGUUGACGUUGGCCCUUAAAGGUAGUGGCGGACCCUCUCGGAGCCUCCUUUGCGUAGUAACUAACGUCUCGCAUUGGGAUUCGGAGGGACUCUUGCCGUAAAACCCCCAAAUUUUCUAAUGGUUGACCUCGGAUCAGGUAGGAAUACCCGCUGAACUUAAGCAUAUCAAUAAGCGGAGGA
rnacentral:misc_RNA from 1 species